rnacentral:lncRNA from 1 species
AGUCUGAUGGAUCUGGGUGACUGGGCAAGUUCUUUAGCUUGUCAAACCUUCAUUUCUCUAAUUUAUAACAUAAGGACAGUACCUUCUUCCUGUCAAGGUUGAGGCAAGCAUUAGUGAGAAACGUCUCAAGGCCUGGUUCACAGAACCCUGGGUGGCAGGUACUAUUGGCACCAUUUUCCAGAUAAAGAAAAUGAAGUUCUAAGCAGUCAAAUGACAUGUCAAGAUCACCCAACUGAGACUACUGCCCUUCAUUGAUUGAUGUCCGGUGCCUGGAAAGCCAUGGUUUUAUGCAGUUUGUGGAUUUUUUAUUUUUUUUCUUUAUUUGAAAUGGGAAGGAUCACAUUACAUCGAACAGAAACUGUUUUACCUUGCUUGCAAGGAGGUGGAGGCCUCCUUGCCCCCAAGUGUGGUGCCACUUCCGGGUUCCUUGAGCACUUCCAGGUUAUCAGCCCAGCUCUCCUCCAGUUUCUGGGGCUGCUGAAGAAGCUGUUGGGGAAAGAUUCAUCAAUGAGGCACCAUUAUGAAAGCAGAGAGCAGCCCUCAGCAGACACCAAACCUCUUG